AGAAAUUACAUAAAAAUAACAUCAAAACAAUAUAAAAACAUAACAUACAAAUAUUAAAAAAUUAACAAUAUCUUGAUAAGAGUAAAAUAUAAAUAUACAUAUCUUUAUAUAUUAAAAGUGCCUAUGUAACGGCAAUUCUUGGUUUAACAGAAUAUUCUUUACAAAUAAAAGAAUAUUCUGUUAAAUUUAACCCCAAAAAAAUCAAUAUUCUGUUAAAUUCGUCCCUACCGCACGUGCGAGCCACAGGAUUCAUCCCUGAAUUGGAUUUGGGGAUAGCAUUCUUCAAAUUAGGGCUUCCAUUUCAUUACACGAGAGAGUCUUCUGUCUCUCUACAAACCCCCAAACCCCAACAAACACAAGCUAAACCUUCUCAAUCCCUCUCUUUCGCGACCCAGAAAUGGCCGCCACAGCCUCCUCCUCAUAAACCCAUUCACCUUGUUCCUCCUCUUCUUUCGCAGAUUCCUCUCUUUGGGUUUUUUCUUCAUCGAUCUUCAGUACCGGUUGUUUGGGGGUUUCUUUUCGGAUGAAAGUUAGGGUUUUAGGGUUUGGUUUUACUGCAAUCUUACCGGACCAGAAAAAACUCGAACUAUAGAUACAAGCCCUGUCGUAAAAAUUUGAUCUUUUUAUUGUUUAGGUUAAACUUCCUUAGGCUUGGAUUGUCGUGGGUCAGCUAGAAAUUUUCCGAGCAAAUCACAUGUCUGACCAUUAAAACCAUCUCUCCAAAGCCUAAUCUAGAAUCCGAUCCUGUAAAAACUAAAACCCCACUUGGGUUUUUUCCUACUUUUGUUUGUUUUCUCUUUACAGACUUUUUUUUUUCUCCCAAGUGAGUUUCUUUCUUCUUUUCCUCUGAUUCAAAUUUGGAUCGUUUUUCUUUUCCUCGAAUCAGGUUGUUUUUAGUAUUUCCGUGGUUUCGUGACGAAUCUCUCUCUCUCCGGGUCGGUUGUGGGUUUGGUAAAGACUUGAUUGGGUUUUUUAUUUUUGUUUCUUUACUUGGUUUGAACUUUCUUUCCCUUCGAUGAUUCCUAGGGAAAUUGAUAAGUUCGCUUUAAUCGAGUAGAGACCCAAAUUAGAAUUUUAUCGUGUUACGGCCUUCCUUCAUUUUUACUCUUUGCUUUUCUCGAUUGGAGGCGUACUUUGUAUUUUGAAGCUUUUGGAUAUUAGAGCUAUCUAGGCGCGAGCAAAGCAUGACACAACAAAUACAAAUUGUUCUUGGCCGUGUUACUGGGGUACAAUAUCGCAAAAGUUAGUAAUUGCUUGAUAUUCACGAGCAGCACGCAUUGUGAUAGGGACCGUACGCAAUACUUGUUGAUACGGAAGGAUCAGAAGUCCGUACCAUACAUCAACCAAGCAUUGAUAUAUUUGAGGCAUUUGAUGAGCUUCUUCUUAUGAAACGAGAAGAGAAAAUUUAAUGCUACGCUCGACUCAACUCUCUCUACUCACUUGCUUUUUUGUUCUCUCAAGCCAAACGCAUUAAACAAAAAAGGACAAAUAAAUAAAAUAUUUGGUGGUCGAAAAUUCGAAGAAUCUUUUUUAGUUGAGCUUAAUAUCGAAGUAGGAAAUGGUUAAC